UCAGGGGGGCUGGGAGCUUGUCCCUGUAUAAUUCAGCAGAAGAGUUUAAGAACACCAUCAUGGGCGUUCUUAAGGAACACCAACCAUGUGCCUGGUGCUGCGGAGAGCACGCUACACAAGCAAUGCGAUCUGUAUUUGGGGACUGUCCCCCAGCUGUCCCCCACCGGUGUCCGUGGCUGGCAUCCUGCCUUGGCACAGGAGAGCUGCACAGCAGCAUGGCUCCCCCACUUACUAGUCUCAGCUGAAUUGUCCUGGGACCACUUGAAAUGUGAUUUAUUUGUUGCUGGGCCAGUAGAAGGUUCCAUGUAGGUGAAAAUGGAUGUUGGGCUAGUUGAAGAGAAAUGGAAAUGAGACUCUGCAGGCUGACUUAUUUAGUGGAAAGAGGGUCACUGGAAAGAACAAUAGAAGAGUCCAGAGACAUCAUCUGUGAACCUGUAUAAGACACCUGCUCAGUGACAUUCAGCCAGUGACGUGCCCUCUCUGGGUUCAAGGACCGCAACUAGGUAACAAUGAGUUAGAUAAAACAUCUCUUAAGUCCCUUCCAGAUCUAACACUUUAAGCUGAUUGUGAAUUCUUGCAGCUACAAGAGACCAUAGGUGGAAACCUAACAUAGCAUUAUUUUCUCAAAACUUGACUUGCAAUGUCCCUGUUAGGACCCCGAUAACCGUGUUGUUACAGAGCCAUCACUUUACAAAAGCAGUGAUGGGCACGUGGAUGCCCACAUUUAGCUUUCGUUCAGGAAUCCUCAGCCACCGCAGGAGCCCACAGGUAAAGAUAGCCUGAGCUACACUCCAUCUAGUUCCCGCGUGCGACUUGCCAACGUGGCCCAGUUUGUGAGGAGGUCGGUGCAAAGUCGGUGAGGUCUGGAGCUCCAGUGAGAACUCAGGUACUGUAAUUCUUCGGCAGUGGACUCUGCCAUCAGAUUUUUCCUUGCAAGGUGCACAAUCAACACCGAGGGUCCUCCUAUGAUGGCAGUUUCUUGACUUCUUCAUUCGUAGACGCCAAGUUCUGGCCUCUGAGCCUGUGCAGGGGAUCUGAUUGCUCAGAACUCCCACCUCCACCCAGAAACACAUGCUCAGGUGGUUUCUGUCCUGCCCGUAGCUUACUCCGGGCCGGGGGUGCCUUCCAUAGUGUAGUUUAUAGCUGAUCCAUCUGGGUGAGGCUCCUGUGCCAGGCCCUUUGUUAGCCGAGCUCCGAGGGGACACUGGUGCCCGAGCUCACCAUGUUGUGUUUGUAUGUCGGGGGCAGGGGGGGCCUUUAGUGGCCAGAGAUCCUUGGCAUCAAUCUAUUUCCAUUUAAAUACGUUUUCCCUUGAUUCAGAAUGAACCCGGAGAAGCAAAAAUACUAAUCGAAUCGGAAUGCAAAUAUCCAAGGCUCCUUUCUCUCAGAAAUGCCCUAUUUUCCCCCCUCCAUGGUACUAAUGUUUUAGAAAUAGAAGGCACCUCUGGAGGGACAGGAUAAUACAAAAAUUUAAAAUCUGUAGAAAAUGAGUACAGGGGUAGGCGGCACUA